rnacentral:sRNA from 1 species
GCACAGAGUUUGGCUUCUGUCCAGAGUGUCAAUUCUUGUCAUAGCUGCGCUUGUGGCAAUUCUAAUUCCUGGGACAAAGUAGAUGAAGAUGAUAUUAAACUUGUUAAUAUUCCUGUGACUACUCCAGAGAACUUAUACUUAAUGGGUAUGGAAUUGUUUGAAGAAGCAUUGCGUCGAUGGGAACAAGCUCUGACCUUUCGCAAUAGACAGGCUGAAGAUGAAGCCUGUGGUUCCAUUAAACUGGGUGCAGGAGAUGCCAUUGCUGAAGAAAAUGUAGAUGAUAUUAUUAGUACUGAAUUUAUCCAUAAACUCGAAGCUCUGCUGCAAAGAGCCUAUCGUCUCCAAGAGGAGUUUGAAGCUACCCUUGGGGCAUCUGAUCCUAAUUCCCUUGCUGAUGAUAUUGAUAACGAUACAGAUAUCACCAUGAAGGGUAACGUGGAUGACUUUGGCCUGCGAGACACCUUGAGCAUUGCAUCCACGGAUUCCUUUGCUUCUGCAGCAGAGCUUGCAGAACACAGAGAAGUAAGGCAUACCUACAGCCUGGAGUCCCUUUGUCACUGCCCGUUUUACGAGGAAGCCAUGCAUUUAGUUGAAGAAGGAAAAAUUUACUCCAGAGUACUGAGGUACCAUUUCAGAUUUGUUUAUGUUUAUGAAGGAUAUUAAGGUGUUUGUGUGGUACUUAUUAAAAAUGUUUAUGAGAAUAGGAGAAAAUAUGUUUUUAGGUCCAAGUAAAGAAAAAAUUAUUUUACAUGUUCUGUCAGUAUUGAAAAAACAUGUUUUAUAUAAGGUCCUGAGGUUAAGCCUUGUUUGAAUCCAAAUUUAUAGUAGGCUUGAUCUUGAAUGUAGUUUAACAAUUGUCUCCCCUGUUUAUUACAUAGAACUGAAAUGUUGGAGUGCCUAGGAGACAGUGAUUUUCUUGCCAAACUUCACUGUAUUCGACAGGCUUUUCAGGUAUUUUUUUAACAUUAAGUGACUUCACCCAGCCACUCAUCCCCACCCUCAUGCUGUAGAGUCCAGUGCAAAUAAACAGGACAGCUCUGUGCUCUUGAUUAUCCCUAUUCCUAAUGACAAAUAUAAAGUCCACUAAACUUAUUUUUCCUCCCUGCUACUUGCCUUCAUUUGUUUCCGUAUUUCAUUAUCCUCUUCCACGGCUUCCCAGGCCCACCAGACUUUGUCAAAACAGGAUAUUUUGAUACUUCAGGAGCGUAAAAAUGGCUGCUUAAAAUAAAAACCCUCUUUCUUAUUAAUUAGUGUGUAUUUGAGAUUUAAUUUCAGUCAAUUAUAAAAUUGAUUUUCUAAAAAGAAAAUAACAAGAAUAUAUUUGUUUUCUUAUGUUUUGGGGCUACAGGAAAUUUAUUUAAGACUGUAAUAUGAUUUUGAACAGAAUUUAAAUUUAAAUUUUACUCCCUUUAAUCUUUUUUUGACUAUAGGUUUCAAGAGUUCUUUUUAUUUUAGUAAAUUAGGACUUUCUCUGUGAGCUGCCUGUUGAAAUAGCACCACAUGCAAUGCAUUAACUGUUUUAGGAUUAUUUGUGCUAUUAAGUUGAAUGUCCAUUCACAUUCAUUAUAGGUCUCUUUUUUUCUUUGGGGAUGAAUAUUUUUUCAGGUAAUUCUUUCAGAAUCAGCUAACAGGAUAUUCCUCGCUGAGAGUGGAAGGAAAAUUUUAUCAGCUUUAAUUGUGAAAGCACGAAAGGUAAACUUCUUCUGUUGGCAAGAUUUUUACCAUUUACAAAAGUUGUUUUUACCCUUUGAACUGAAGAUUAAGAUAUUAAAUUUUUGAUAGAAGAAAAAGUUUUUGUGGAUAGUUGAAAAGGGCAUUAAGUUAUGCUCGGGUUGAACUAUGUAUAAAGUCCACACUAUUUCAACCAAGUUGUUUCUCAUAAAUUAUUUCCAAUUUGCCAUAAACUCUGUAAAUAUCAUGGUGAGAAUUAUCAUUAGAUCUGCUGCUAUAACCAUCACUAUUAUUGUUACUGAUGCCUCCUCUUUUAUUACCUCAAUCUUGUUCAGGAAGAGGGUUACAGGAAAUAGCGUAGGUCUCAGAAAUCUGGAAUACAAAUUGAACUGCCUCAUCUUCAUGUAGUUGAAUGAGGCAGAAGCAAUGACAAGAACUUCAUUCAGACUGUAAGGAACCACCUUACUUUAUGUAAGGUUUGUCCAGAUGAUGAGAAAACAAAACAAGCCUUCCUUGAGCCAUUUGCACACCUAGUUUUCAGACUCAAUCCCUUUGAACUUUAAUUCUUUCAUUUAUAUAAUAGAAUUAUAUUUAUAUUACCUCAUUUCAGAGGGUUUUUAGGAUGAUUAAAUACAUGAUAAAUGGGAAAGCAACUUAAAGAAUAAAGUGUUAAGUAGUGUAAAGUGCUAAGUAUAUGUAAGGUGAUACUAACUAUUAAUACAUGCAAUUCCCAAUGUAAGUCUUGUGUUGCUUUCUUGGCUUUCUCAUGACAGAUAAACUCAGUGAUUUGAACUAGGCUUCCUCCAAAAGAAGCAGAACUGCAACAAAAGCCUCACAUAAUGUCUGCUAUAACCAAAUUUUCAUUUUAAGGACUGACCAAAAUAGGCAUACAUAUUUGAGUAAUAAAUAGUUUGCUUGUGACAUUUUACUGACAUUCUUUAUCUUGGCUUCUGCAAAAUGUUGCAACAGCAAAGUAGUAAACCAGAUAAAUUUGGCAUACCUUUAAAAUGUAUUUUAGUUCAGUUACCUAGUAGAAUUAAGAUCUACCAGACUUAUUUGAAGAGUAACUUUCUUUGUAGCUUGUUAUAAAGUUGAGUUUAGGGUUAAAAUGUGUUUUCUUCUUCAGAAUCCAAAGAAGUUUGAAGAUGUUUUUGAUGAAAUGAUCUAUUUUUUAGAGCAGACCGAUCACUGGGGUAGUACUGAAAUGGAACUUGCUGCUAGAGGGGUAAAUUAAAAUUUUUUGUGAUAUUUAUUUUUCUUAGUUAUUUGCAUGUAAUUUUAUAUGAGUUGAGACUUCUGUUUCAUUGUCCUUGUUAAAUAAAGUAAAGCCAAUUGUAUGGUUGUGGGACAUCUUUUUUUCUGACGAAGUCAUAAACCACACUCCUUGUACAUUGGGGCAGUAGUUGUAAAUUGUUUUCUAAGAAGCCUUUUUUGCUGUUGUUGGCUCCUUGCUUCCUUCCCUCCUGUCCUCCUUCCCUUGUUCCCUCUCUUCCUUCUCUCCAAAAGUCAUUGGCAGGCCCCUAGCAGGGCAGGAAUGGUGGCCUAUGCAAGGACAGCUUUGGGUAGUACAACAGCAGCAGCUCAGUAGGGCUGGGGAAUUGGCUGUAUACACAGGACUGAGCAAAUAAGUAUACUGAGAAAAAUCAGAGCCAGCUUUUCCCUGUGAGAGAAGGGAGGUAUAAAACGCUGGGAUUGGAAUUGGAGCUGUCAGUGUGAGUUCACAGUUUAUAAUGUAUAUGUAGAUACAGAUAUAGAAAUAAAUAUAGGUCCGGGCAUGGUGGUUCAUGCCUGUCAUCCCAGCACUUUAGGAGGCUGAGGCGGGCGGAUCACCUGAGGUCAGGAGUUUGAGACCAACCUAGCCAACAUGGCAAAAUCUCGUCUCUACUGAAAUACAAAAAUUAGCCAGGUGUAGUGGCUCACGCCUGUAAUCCCAACUACUCGGGAGGCCAAGGAACGAGAAUUGCUGGAACCUGGGAGGUGGAGGUGGCAGUGAGCCAAGAUUGCGCCACUGUACUCCAGCCUAGAUGACAGAACGAGACUCUGUCUCAAAAAAUAUAU